GGGGCUAUAGCUCAGGUGGUUAGAGCGCACCCCUGAUAAGGGUGAGGUCGCUAGUUCGAGUCUAGCUAGCCCCA
rnacentral:tRNA from 3 species